UGAGGAUGGUGGAGGCACAAACAUGGGCAGCAAGGAGAAUCAGCAACCCAAGAAUAAUGGAUGGCACCACCGUGUCAACCACCACCAAUGGCCACGUUCUUGAUAUACUUCAUUAAGGGAUUUUGUUAGCAUCAGAAGCUGAGAAGUUACAAUCCAGGCGAGAGUUGCCAAAACCCGCGAAUCACUUCUUCAUUCCCUCUCUGCAGCUCCACAACUAGAGAGUGCUACAGGGAGCGAGUACUGUAGACAAAGCCAAAGUAAAGAGCCCUUUGGAGAGCAUCAAUGCUGCGGGUAAAACAUGUAUUUGCUUAGCUAUUAUAGCUAAGGAACAUAGUCAGAGAACAACAAUGAGGAUGCUCUAACAGCAAGGAAGACCUCUUUUUUAUUGGAGUCUACAUCAAGGAAAAAUAAAAGUGUCUAGUCUACAUGAGCAAAAAGAAUAAUACAAUUUAAUUUGUUGCUGCAACUGAUACGUUUUUUUUAGUGCUACGGAAACUUUUUUCUCACCAGGAUAAAGCUUACUCUAGAUGAUGCUGUUAUUUCCAGGGCAAACAACAACAUUAAACUAUUUGUUAUUAUCCUCAUCAUAGAACACUUCUUAUGUUUU